rnacentral:tRNA from 1 species
UGGGGUAUAGCUUAGUUGGUAGAGUGUUUGCCUAGCAUGCAUGAGAGCAUGGUUUCAAUUCUCAGUACUACAU